GCCUGCAUGAAGUCGGAAUUGCUAGUAAUCGCGGAUCAGCAUGCCGCGGUGAAUACGUUUCCGGGCCUUGUACACACCGCCCGUCACACCAUGGGAGCCGGUAAUACCCGAAGUCAGUAGUCCAACCUCGUGAGGACGCUGCCGAAGGUAGGAUUGACGACUGGGGUGAAGUCGUAACAAGGUACC
rnacentral:rRNA from 1 species